rnacentral:rRNA from 1 species
AGAGACAGCAGUCGCCACGGGAAUACAGAGGGUGCGAGCGUUAAUCGGAUUUACUGGGCGUAAAGCGUGCGUAGGCGGCUUCUUAAGUCGGAUGUGAAAUCCCUGAGCUUAACUUAGGAAUUGCAUUCGAUACUGGGAAGCUAGAGUAUGGGAGAGGAUGGUAGAAUUCCAGGUGUAGCGGUGAAAUGCGUAGAGAUCUGGAGGAAUACCGAUGGCGAAGGCAGCCAUCUGGCCUAAUACUGACGCUGAGGUACGAAAGCAUGGGGAGCAAACAGGAUUAGAUACCCGCGUAGUCCCUGUCUCUUAUAC